rnacentral:rRNA from 1 species
AGGUCACCGCUAUCGGGGUCCGACUAAGCCAUGCGAGGCGAAGGUGCUUCUUCGGAAGCGCCUGCCGAACUGCUCAGUAACACGUAGUCAACCUACCCUCGGGUGGGGGAUAACCCCGGGAAACUGGGACUAAUCCCCCAUAGCCGUUGGGUACUGGAAUGUCCCAACGGCGAAAGGCUUCGGCCGCCCGAGGAUGGGACUGCGGCGGAUUAGGUUGUUGUCAGGGUAACGACCUGACAAGCCGAUAAUCCGUACGGGCCAUGAGAGUGGGAGCCCGGAGAUGCCCUCUGAGACAUGAGGGCAGGUCCUACGGGACGCAGCAGGCGCGAAACCUCCCCAAUGCCUGGAAUCGGGCGGAAAUUUUCCGCCCGCCAGAGGGGUGAGGGGGGGACCCCGAGUGGCCAUGCUCUGCAUGGCCUUUUGCCCUGUGUAAACAGCAGGGCGAAUAAGCGGUGGGCAAGACGGGUGCCAGCCGCCGCGGUAAUACCCGCGCCGCGAGUGGUGACCGCGUUUAUUGGGCCUAGAGCGUCCGUAGCCGGGUAGGCAAGUUCCCCGUGAAAUCCGCGCGUAAACGCGCGGGCGUGCGGGGAAGACUGCCUACCUUGGGACCGGGAGAGGCCGGAGGUAUUCCCCGGGUAGGGGUAAAAUCCUUUAAUCCGGGGAGGACCACCUGUGGCGAAGGCGUCCGGCUGGAACGGGUCCGACGGUGAGGGACGAAAGCCAGGGGAGCGAACGGGAUUAGAUACCCCGGUAGUCCUGGCCGUAAACGAUGCCCGCUUGGUGUUGGACAUCCUUCGGGAUGUCCAGUGCCGGAGCGAAGGUGUUAAGCGGGCCGCCUGGGGAGUACGGCCGCAAGGCUGAAACUUAAGGGAAUUGGCGGGGGAGCACACAAGGGGUGGAGGCUGCGGUUCAAUUGGAUUCAACGCCGGAAACCUUACCAGGGGAGACAGCAGGAUGAAGGUCAGGCUGAAGACCUUACCAGACAAGCUGAGAGGUGUUGCAUGGCCAUCGUCAGCUCGUACCGUGAGGCGUGCCGUUAAGUCGGUUAACGAGCGAGACCCACGCCGCUAGUUGCGACCCGACUUCCUCGGGAGUCGGGGCACUCUAGCGGGACCGCUGGCGAAAAGCCAGAGGAAGGUGUGGGCGACGGUAGGUCAGUAUGGCCCGAAUCCCCUGGGCUACACGCGGCCUACAAUGGACGGGACAAUGGGAUGCGACCCCGAAAGGGGAAGCUAAUCCCCAAACCCGUCCCCAGUUCGGAUCGAGGGCUGCAACUCGCCCUCGUGAAGCCGAAAUCCCUAGUAGGCGAACGUCACUAAAGCGC